rnacentral:rRNA from 1 species
GACAGAGGUCCCGAGCGUUAAUCGGAAUUACUGGGCGUAAAGCGUGCGCAGGCGGUUGUGCAAGACAGAUGUGAAAUCCCCGGGCUUAACCUGGGAACUGCAUUUGUGACUGCACGGCUAGAGUGUGUCAGAGGGGGGUAGAAUUCCACGUGUAGCAGUGAAAUGCGUAGAUAUGUGGAGGAAUACCGAUGGCGAAGGCAGCCCCCUGGGAUAACACUGACGCUCAUGCACGAAAGCGUGGGGAGCAAACAGG